UACGUAGGGUGCGAGCGUUAAUCGGAAUUACUGGGCGUAAAGCGUGCGCAGGCGGUUUUGUAAGCCAGAUGUGAAAUCCCCGGGCUCAACCUGGGAAUGGCAUUUGGGACUGCAAGGCUUGAGUGCGGCAGAGGAGACUGGAAUUUACGGUGUAGCAGUGAAAUGCGUAGAUAUCGUAAGGAAGACCAGUGGCGAAGGCGAGUCUCUGGACAGUUACUGACGCUGAGGCACGAAGGCCAGGGGAGCAAACGGG
rnacentral:rRNA from 1 species